rnacentral:lncRNA from 1 species
CUAGCUCUUCAAAGCUGACCUCAUAAUGGAGGUUAAAGAAAAGAAGAAACGAUUUCUGUUUUCUCCAUGAAAAAGUGUCUCUAUGGGACGAGAGCUGCACAUUGCUGGGACAUGAAGGAGCAUGUUGCAGAAUGAAACCAGGCUGUUGCACGAAGGAGCCAGCAAUGGUGAUGGAAUUGCUGAGUGUCUGGAAGGAAUAGAUCAUCAGAUAUCAGAAAACACAAUGCAGACUGUCAAGAUUUAGAAAUGACUAUGCACUGUCUCAUAAUUCACAGUGGGUAUGCCUGUACUGAUGGGAGUCAUGGAGUUGCUGGGUUUAAAAGGAAAGUUUGCUGACAGCUACCAUCAAGUUGUGCAUGUGCAGUGGUGGAGAGUUUGUGGAAGCCUGUCACAUCAGGACCUGCAAAGCUAUGGCUGUAUUUCAAUGUUGGAGCCAACACCCAAAAGGUCACCAGGAACUAUGUGUGCAUGCUGCAAUGAUCAUUAACACCUUCUGUUGUGCAUGAAACAAAGCCAAGAGGAAAGCAAGGCAGCCUAUGGAGGACUUUUAUGAUGA